GGUUGGCUCAGUCAGUAGAGCAUGAGACUCUUAAUUUCAGGUUCAUGGGUUCGAGCCCCAUGUUGAGCG
rnacentral:tRNA from 1 species